GAAGAAGGAUGUAUCAGUGAAUUUGGCGUCGAUAACCUUCAACUCCUGCAGCUUGCGGGACUUAGAACAUCUUAGUUCUCUCUGCUGUCAAGCACUGAUAAUAUAGGAUACCUCUUUACCUACAGUUCUGAAAAAUAUCAGUUCAGUUAAAAACACUGUUGCGGCUCAUUUCACCAAUAAUGAUGCUAACUUAGUGGAGGAGGCUUCUUGAUACCAAAUAUGGAGGAUUACUACAGAGGAAAAUAAGGACAAAUGCGAGGAUAUUUAAGAAGAGGACCGUGAAACAAGUUUCACCAAAAUGAGGAGAAGGAGAGAGGGCACAUGGAUAUGUGAAAUGCAAUCCAUUAUUACCACAACAACAGCCCCCCCUACUGAUGGGUAACAGAACAGCAGAGAUCUUCAGUUAUCUGCUGGAGCAUUUGUGCUGAAUAUGAUCCAAGCAGACAAACAGCCUCCAUCAAAGAUUCGUCACUGACAUAAUGGAGCGAGGACUUGUGAGGAACACAGGAACUCAUCAUGAACUCAAUCAAACAGACGCUCUCCAGUAAGUGGCACCGACUGUUUCCGCUCACUUUACCAAAGCUGUCUCCAUGGAAACAAAGAAACAGCCUCUGAACUCAGUCCCCUCAGAUGAAACCUUGGAUGGAAACAAACUGUCAGGAAAAGCGUCGACUGUGAAUAGCAACGUUCAGUGGAGUUAGAUGAGAACAGCAGGUGUUCCACUGCUGAACUACUGGAUCAAAUCAAUCAGGUCAUGGGACACCUGUUGUACUUGCUGGAUGCUUCACAUAGACAGUAUAGGUGCAGAGGACAGCAUGUCAACCGCAGAUGGAAGAGUGUUAUUACAUGGCAUUCAAUGACGAAUCAUCUGGACCUUGUUUUGUCAAUACACACUGUGUUCCACAUGAUUAUGCUAAUACGGUUCCAAUUAAACAUUUAAUUUUUCA